GAUAGGUCGGGUGUGUAAGCGUAGCGAUACGUUGAGCUAACCGAUACUAAUGAACCGUGAGGCUUAACCUUACAACGCCGAAG
rnacentral:rRNA from 1 species